rnacentral:lncRNA from 1 species
GUCACAUCCAGGACAAACAAGAGAAGUCCUUUUAACCAAAUAGGACUCCUAUAUAACAAGAGUCUUUGAGAAGAGAGUCGUAUGACCUAAGAUGUCCCCUCCAACUACUUUGGUCCAACACCAUAUGGAAGCUGCCAAGGCUUGAAGCAAUGGCCUAAGCUGGAUCUCGACCCCUUUUAGCCACAGCUGAAACUGGAAUGGCUGGGAUGCAGGACACCAAGUCCCAAGGCUGCACAGAGCAACAGGUCCCUGGGCCAGGCCCAGAUACCUGAAGUGGUUUUGAAGACUGGGCAGCUAAGACCUAAGUGAAGAAGAAUUCCUCCCCUGCAAGGAUGACCAAGAACCCAGCCGCUCUGUUUCCUUCCCGACUGGAGUCCUCUUCUCCACUGAUCUUCAGGCUCGUGUGGAAAAACCGAUAAAAUAGAAAAAGCAAUCGGAAGAAUAUAAAAAUCACUGAUAAUCCCGCCACCUAGAGAAAACUACUGUUAGUAUUUUGAGUGUAUUUCCCUCCAGCUUUUUUCUAUAUAUGUGUAUGUAUUUAUAAUAUAUAAAUAAUAUACUAUAUAUUAAUCAAAUACUAUAUAUAAUAAAUACAUUAUAUAUCUUA